rnacentral:rRNA from 1 species
GAUGAACGCUGGCAGCGUGCCUAAUACAUGCAAGUCGAACGCAUAGCGAAAGGUGCUUGCACCUUUCAAGUGAGUGGCGAACGGGUGAGUAACACGUGGACAACCUGCCUCAAGGCUGGGGAUAACAUUUGGAAACAGAUGCUAAUACCGAAUAAAACUUAGUGUCGCAUGACACAAAGUUAAAAGGCGCUUCGGCGUCACCUAGAGAUGGAUCCGCGGUGCAUUAGUUAGUUGGUGGGGUAAAGGCCUACCAAGACAAUGAUGCAUAGCCGAGUUGAGAGACUGAUCGGCCACAUUGGGACUGAGACACGGCCCAAACUCCUACGGGAGGCUGCAGUAGGGAAUCUUCCACAAUGGGCGAAAGCCUGAUGGAGCAACGCCGCGUGUGUGAUGAAGGCUUUCGGGUCGUAAAGCACUGUUGUAUGGGAAGAACAGCUAGAAUAGGAAAUGAUUUUAGUUUGACGGUACCAUACCAGAAAGGGACGGCUAAAUACGU